UCAAUUUCUUACGACAUAAAGAUUAAAUACUUAUUGUGGAUCGACACUAAACUAUAUGAAAGACAGAAAGAAGAUCCAACAGCCUCGAGAUUUAGAUGCACAAAAUGUGUGUACUGUCAGUCACAUCUGUUGAAAAUACAUAUUCCUCUGAUAUGUGAUACGAAGAAUUCAACAUUUUUUGUAAAUAAAUCUGCAGAUGAAUUAUAGAAAGCUAUGACGACUGUCAGUAAUGCAGGAAGACGUAGAGGUAGAAUGAAAGGAUUAGCAAGAAAAAGGGAUUUUAAUAGAGGUCCAAUUAUUGAUGUAAAAAAAUUCUAAUACAAUUUCCUGUAUUCAAAGGAAAGAUGCUUGUUCAACAAUAGAGGUUACCUUUAGAUUCUAAAAGAGAGAAGUUUGCAAAACUAUAUAGCAAAAA
rnacentral:lncRNA from 1 species